rnacentral:rRNA from 1 species
GACGAACGCUGGCGGCGUGCCUAAUACAUGCAAGUAGAACGCUGAGGCGAGGAGCUUACUCUUCUUGGAUGAGUUGCGAACGGGUGAGUAACGCGUAGGUAACCUGCCUUGUAGCGGGGGAUAACUAUUGGAAACGAUAGCUAAUACCGCAUAACAAUGGAUGCCACAUGUCAUUUAUUUGAAAGGGGCAAUUGCUCCACUACAAGAUGGACCUGCGUUGUAUUAGCUAGUAGGUGAGGUAAUGGCUCACCUAGGCGACGAUACAUAGCCGACCUGAGAGGGGGAUCGGCGACAUGGGAACUGAGAGGCGGUCAAGACUCCUAAGGGAGGCAGCAGUAGGGAAUUUUACGCAGUGGGUGAAAGCCUGAAGGAGCAAAGGCGAGUGAGUGAUGACGGUGUUCGGAUCGUAAAACUCUGUUAUUAGGGAAGAACAAAGGUGGAAGUAACUGUGCACAUCUUGACGGUAACUAAUCAGAAAGCCACGGCUAACUACGUG